GUUUGAUGACUAGUUUUAAUUCAACAGUGCAUUUGUAUGUAAAAUAUAGUGUUAAAAAAGUGGUGUGAAGAGACCAUUGGCCCCCGAACAUAUUCACAUUAUCAAAUCUGGCCCUCAUUAAAAAAUGUUUGGACCCCAGUCUAAAAGCUUCAUGUUUCAAUCCACCCAAAAUUGUCAGCAAGAAGCAGGCACACUUGAGAUUUUGCCGCGGAAUUUUCUAGUUCAUUUUCAUUAUUUAAUUACAUGUCCUUUAUGAAAAGCCUUCAUCAAAGUUAAUCUUAAAUUAAGUUUACAAUUAAACAAGUCAAUAAUUCAGUAGUGCUUUUUUAUCUUUUGUUGUCCUAAUGCCAAUUUAUGGAACACAUUUUUCUAUCUUUGAAACUAUCAACUGCAACGAACAUCAUCAUUACGAAGUAAUCUAUCGGAUCAUUUUCUCAAACCCAAAUUGUUUUCUUCCACAAAACAAAAGGUAUUAACUUUACUGUCAAUGCAGAGCAAAUAAACACCAAUUAACAUUUUUAGUAGUUGCACUGACAAUCAAUGAAUUAUUGCAACUCUAAAAACACAAAUGAAACUUGUCAUUCAGAAAAAAGUCUGUUUAAAUUAAAACGUUCUUUUUUUCUCUCCAUCCUGUUAGGUGGCAGUUUGCCUGCGAGGGGGCAGACAUAGGCUUCGGGGUGUUUUUGAAGGCUAAGAGGGGCGAAUGGAAGAAGGCAGCUCAGAUGCAGGAAGUUGUGCACAGCCAACGCUACAAUGCACACUUAGUGCCUGAGGAUGGGUCACUGACCUGUGAACAUGCUGGAGUCUAUGUGAUAAGGUUUGACAACACCUACAGCAUCUUCCAGGCCAAAAGAAUCAGUUUUACUGUCGAGAUCCUGCUGCCAGACAACUCACAGCCCCCACAGACCAAUGGGGCUGCCAGUAAAAGUGUGGAAGCUGAGAACAACAGUCCAUUGUAACCAGAUGCCUCCUCCAUCAUUGUCUUAUCAUUCAUGUUUAGCCAUAUGUAAUCACAGCCUGACAUACUUGAUUUGGACCACAGCCACAACAUACUGCCAAGUGGUUUCCCAACUUUGGAUCCCACUGUAGUUUUUUUUCUUUGUAUCCAAAGGUUUGAUGGCUUGAUUUAUGUGGUGCCCAUUUACUAGGAUACAUUAAAACUCUUUAACAACCAAUAAAGCAAAAAACAAAAUAAACUGAAACUCACAAGCAAGCUAACUGCUGAAUUUGAGAUGUGUAAUUCGUCUGAUUGACAUUUCUCAAAAUGUGUUGUUGACUCUUUAUCCCAGAGCCAUAAUAAAAUGCAAAUGUACCUUUUUAUGUUUAACAUGAACACAUCAAACAUCAUAUUACAUUCACACAGAUCCACAAACCUUUGCUAAUUUUACAUGUUGUCAUCUAUUAUCUGUUUUCUUCUGUCUUCCAUGUUGCUGCAGAAAUAUUAACAAUCCAAGUUACCACAUCGAACAUCAAGUAUGUGGGAUAGUCAGAGUCAUUUAUUUCAGUAUUUAUUUUCUAAUUUCAUUUCACAGAAAAUAAUAGGUUAAAAUGUAUAAAGUCAGUAGAGACAAAAGUAUUACAUGCUAUUUAUGUCAUUUGUAAUGAGUGAGUGAGUGAGUGAAAACACAUUUGAAAAUGUGUUACUCUCAUCAGACAUUGAAUGUAGACUAUGGCUGGAUUACUUCUCAAUAUGUCCAUAGAUGGUAAUAGCACUGAGGUAUUUAUUCAAAAAGAGUAGUCUUUUGUGUCCAAAAUGAUGGUUUAUUGUAUGAUGAACAACAGCAAAGAAUACAUUUUCGCAAACCAAAUAUAAAAGGGACAUGGACUGUGUUGUGUCCUCUUAAGGUUUCUCAUAAAUAAACACGUUUUUCGACUCACCAAAA